GAUGAACGCUGGCGGCGUGCUUAACACAUGCAAGUCGAACGGAAAGGCCCAAGCUUGCUUGGGUACUCGAGUGGCGAACGGGUGAGUAACACGUGGGUGAUCUGCCCUGCACUUCGGGAUAAGCCUGGGAAACUGGGUCUAAUACCGGAUAGGACCACAUUUUGGAGGGUGUGGUGGAAAGUUUUUCGGUGUGGGAUGAGCUCGCGGCCUAUCAGCUUGUUGGUGGGGUAAUGGCCUACCAAGGCGUCGACGGGUAGCCGGCCUGAGAGGGUGUACGGCCACAUUGGGACUGAGAUACGGCCCAGACUCCUACGGGAGGCAGCAGUGGGGAAUAUUGCACAAUGGGCGCAAGCCUGAUGCAGCGACGCCGCGUGGGGGAUGACGGCCUUCGGGUUGUAAACUCCUUUCGCUAGGGACGAAGCGCAAGUGACGGUACCUGGAGAAGAAGCACCGGCUAACUACGUG
rnacentral:rRNA from 1 species